rnacentral:rRNA from 1 species
AGGGCACCACCAGGAGUGGAGCCUGCGGCUUAAUUUGACUCAACACGGGAAAACUCACCCGGCCCGGACACUGGAAGGAUUGACAGAUUGAGAGCUCUUUCUUGAUUCAGUGGGUGGUGGUGCAUGGCCGUUCUUAGUUGGUGGAGCGAUUUGUCUGGUUAAUUCCGAUAACGAACGAGACUCUAGCCUACUAAAUAGAUCGUCGGCUUACAAACGCCGAUGAGACUUCUUAGAGGGACAGGCGGCGAUUCAGCCGCACGAAACAGAGCAAUAACAGGUCUGUGAUGCCCUUAGAUGUCCGGGGCCGCACGCGCGCUACACUGAAGUGAUCAGCGUGCAUUUUCAGCCUACUCUGCCAAGAGUGGGAAACCCAAUGAACCUUCUUCGUGAUUGGGAUAGGGGAUUGUAAUUAUUCCCCUUGAACGAGGAAUUCUCAGUAAGCGCGAGUCAUAAGCUCGCGUUGAUUACGUCCCUGCCCUUUGUACACACCGCCCGUCGCUACUACCGAUUGAAUGUUUU